rnacentral:lncRNA from 1 species
AUGAAGCAAGAGAUAGAGAGAUUGAGGCUAUGGCAGAAAGUCAUGGAGGAUCAGCGACCAAGACUGGCCUGGAACAACAAACCUAUUGAGACAGGAAGAGAGAGGGAAAGAGAGAGGGAAAGAGAGAGAGAAAGGGAGAUGGAAAGUGAGAGAAAAGCAGAAUUGGAAAGACAAGAAAUGAAGAAGAAAGUGGAACAGGCAGAAGAAACGAUAAAAGUGUUAGAACGAGAGAUUGAGAGAUUGAAAGAGAUUGAGAAGGAAAUCACAUUUGAAAGAGAAAGAGACGUGCGUAUUGGAGAGAAUGAGAAAGUCAAACUGGUUAACAAAAACGUAAAAGAGUUAGAGAGAGAGGUUGAGAGACUGAAAGAAGAUAUGACAACGAAAGAGAUUCAAUACAAAAUCAAAUUUGAAAGAGCGAAAGAAGCGUUUAGAAGACAGAAUGAGAGAGUGAAACAGGUUAACCAAAAUGUACUAGUGUUAGACAGAGAGGUUGUGAGAAUGAAAGAAGAGAUUAGAUUGAAAGACGAGACUGAACCAGAGAGAACAUUUGAUAGAGACAGAGAGAGAGAAAAUGAUUGGAGACGAAGUGAAGAGGAGAUGAAAAAUAGAGUGGAGAGAGAGAUGGAGAUGGAGACAGACCUCAUCAAUGACAAAAAUACGUCUGAAUUGGAGGAAGUCUGCAAGAAAAUCAAGGAACAGCGGAUAGAAUUAGAAAAUAUGGAAACAGACAAAUAUAAAUGGAAACAGAACCAAAUGGACAUGGAGGAGAAGAUGGAGGGUGAGCACAACAAACAGAAAGAGGUAGAAAGAAAGAGAAUGGAGAAAAUACUAAAACAGAGACAAGAAGAAGAUGAGAAGAAGAAGGAGAUGGAGAGAGAAGAAGAAGAGAGACGCAAACAGAAGAACAUAGAGAUGGAAGAGGAAGAACGAGAAAGGGAGAAAGAGAGACAGAGGGAGAUCAAAAGGAAGAGAAUGGAGAAGAGACAGAAAAUUAUGAAAAGAGAAGAAGAGAGACAGAGAGAGAUUGAAAGAGAGAUUGAAGAAGAAAGAUGUAAACAGAAGCAAAUAGAGAUGGAAGAGAUAGAACGAGAAAGGGAGAAAGAGAGACAGAGCGAGAUCAAAAGGAAGAGAAUGGAGAAGAGACAGAAAAUUAUGGAAAGAGAAGAAGAGAGACAGAGAGAGAUUGAAAGAGAGAUUGAAGAAGAAAGAUGUAAACAGAAGCAAAUAGAGAUGGAAGAGGAAGAAAGAGAAAGGGAGAAAGAGAGACAGAGCGAGAUCAAAAGGAAGAGAAUGGAGAAUAGACAGAAAAUUAUGGAAAGAGAAGAAGAGAGACAGAGAGAGAUUGAAAGAGAGAUUGAAGAAGAAAGAUGUAAACAGAAGCAAAUAGAGAUGGAAGAGAUAGAACGAGAAAGGGAGAAAGAGAGACAGAGACAGAUUGAAAGGAAGAGAAUGGAGAAGAGACAGAAAAUUAUGUUAAGAGAAGAAGAGAGACAGAGAGAGAUUGAAAGAGAGAUUGAAGAAGAAAGAUGUAAACAGAAGCAAAUAGAGAUGGAAGAGAUAGAACGAGAAAGGGAAAAAGAGAGACAGAGCGAGAUCAAAAGGAAGAGAAUGGAGAAGAGACAGAAAAUUAUGGAAAGAGAAGAAGAGAGAGAGAGAGAUUGA